CGCGUACUGAAUGCUUAUCCCCCGGUACCAUUCCAGUUCAUCUCCGACCCCCCACUGGCUUCUCUAUUCCUGCGCCUCCUACCAGAACGUCCCAGAAGCACUCUGCCAUGACGGCGAAGGCGGCUUACAAGUGAUAACCCACCAUCACCAUUGUCAUCAUCACUACCAUUGUCAUUAUCAUCUGAGUAAUUCAAACCACCAACAGGAGAAAUGCGGUGGAUACCAGCAGCACUCUCAUCCAUUGUUUGGUGGUUCGUUCUCUCAGACUGCCUCAGACGUCUAUUGAGCCCAUUCCCUGAUGGCCCAAAUGCAUGCAAUAGAAGGAAGACGUUCACCAAGUUUCGAUCAAAACCUCCAUUCCCCUCUGCAGCAUCUGCAUCAAAACCCCCAAUUUCUUCAUCUGUAUCAAAACCAUAAUUAUUUCCCUCUAUUACAUAAUCCCCAAAAACCAUUGCCCCAGGCAUCGUGGACCGUAUUGUACUAAUUACAUCAUCAUGUUCGCGUUCCCUCUCAAGCCUACUCCAUUUCUGCUCCAGAAUUGGAUCAACUUUGCGUGGCUGUGCAGAGGGGUGAGCUGUCUUCAUGUGCUUCCUUAGCUCCUUGUAAGUU
rnacentral:misc_RNA from 1 species